GGCCCCGUCGUCCAGAGGCCUAGGACGCCGGCCUUUCAAGCCGGAAACGCCGGUUCGAACCCGGUCGGGGCUG
rnacentral:tRNA from 1 species